CAUGAAUAUAGACUUGAUGACAACAACACUAGCAAUUGCAUCUGUUGUGCGGAAGCGUCAACCAACUUUGAGUGAAAAAUAAAUAACAACAGGCAGGAGAAAAAUUGAACAAAAUAAUCAACAAGAACAACACCAAGAUUUAUACUGGUUCGGCAAUUGCCUACAUCCAGCUUGGAGACGAUGGAGUAUUCCACUAUAAUCAAU
rnacentral:lncRNA from 1 species